CCUACGGGAGGCAGCAGUGAGGAAUAUUGGUCAAUGGACGAGAGUCUGAACCAGCCAAGUAGCGUGAAGGAUGACUGCCCUAUGGGUUGUAAACUUCUUUUAUAUGGGAAUAAAACGUUGCACGUGUGGGAUUUUGUAUGUACCAUAUGAAUAAGGAUCGGCUAACUCCGUGCCAGCAGCCGCGGUAAUACGGAGGGUCCGAGCGUUAUCCGGAUUUAUUGGGUUUAAAGGGAGCGUAGGUGGGUUGUUAAGUCAGUUGUGAAAGUUUGCGGCUCAACCGUAAAAUUGCAGUUGAAACUGGCAGUCUUGAGUACAGUAGAGGUGGGCGGAAUUCGUGGUGUAGCGGUGAAAUGCUUAGAUAUCACGAAGAACUCCGAUUGCGAAGGCAGUUCACUGGACUGCAACUGACACUGAGGCUCGAAAGUGUGGGUAUCAAACAGGAUUAGAUACCCUUGUAGUC
rnacentral:rRNA from 1 species